UCGUACUAGCCGGGGAGAUAGCGGUGCCCUGUAGCCUGCAAUCCGCUUUAGCAGGGGUGAUGUCCUGCCUAGGGUGCUUGCUUGUGAAGCUGCCCGUGGCAAGUGGUGUUGACGCGAGGGUCCCCGCGCAACGGGAACCUGUGAACUGUGUCAGGGCAGGAAUGCAGCAGCACUAAGCAGGAGCUUUCGUGUGCCGCGAGAUCGCCGUCGCUGAGCUUACUGCCAUGGUAACGUUUGUGAGCGGUGCUCGAAGCAGGAUGUACAA
rnacentral:SRP_RNA from 2 species